AAUUAGUGAUAUGGAUAAUAACAGAGAAGAGACUUAAAUCUCUCCCAUGCAGGAUAGAGAUUCUCAUUUGGCUUCUAUUUGAAACUCAGGAUCUUACUCCUUAACCU
rfam:Capsicum annuum cultivar Zunla-1 chromosome 5, whole genome shotgun sequence